rnacentral:rRNA from 1 species
AGCGAACGCUGGCGGCAGGCCUAACACAUGCAAGUCGAACGGACCCUUCGGGGUUAGUGGCGGACGGGUGAGUAACACGUGGAACGUGCCUUUAGGUUCGGAAUAGCUCCUGGAAACGGGUGCUAAUACCGAAUGUGCCCUUCGGGGGAAAGAUUUAUCGCCUUUAGAGCGGCCCGCGUCUGAUUAGCUAGUUGGUGAGGUAAAGGCUCACCAAGGCGACGAUCAGUAGCUGGUCUGAGAGGAUGAUCAGCCACAUUGGGACUGAGACACGGCCCAAACUCCUACGGGAGGCAGCAGUGGGGAAUCUUGCGCAAUGGGCGAAAGCCUGACGCAGCCAUGCCGCGUGAAUGAUGAAGGUCUUAGGAUUGUAAAAUUCUUUCACCGGGGACGAUAAUGACGGUACCCGGAGAAGAAGCCCCGGCUAACUUCGUGCCAGCCGCCGCAGUAAAAC